rnacentral:rRNA from 1 species
CCUACGGGGGGCAGCAGUGGGGAAUAUUGCGCAAUGGGGGAAACCCUGACGCAGCAACGCCGCGUGAGUGAUGAAGGCUUUCGAGUCGUAAAACUCUGUCUUUGGGGACGAAUAAUGACGGUACCCAAGGAGGAAGCCCCGGCUAACUACGUGCCAGCAGCCGCGGUAAUACGUAGGGGGCAAGCGUUGUCCGGAAUCACUGGGCGUAAAGGGCGCGUAGGCGGUUUGUUAAGUCAGGUGUGAAAGUUUUCAGCUUAACUGGAAAAGUGCACUUGAAACUAACUUACUUGAGUACUGGAGAGGUAAGCGGAAUUCCUAGUGUAGCGGUGAAAUGCGUAGAUAUUAGGAAGAACACCGGUGGCGAAGGCGGCUUACUGGACAGAGACUGACGCUGAGGCGCGAAAGCGUGGGGAGCGAACAGGAUUAGAUACCCCAGUAG